UACGUAGGGAGCGAGCGUUGUCCGGAGUUACUGGGCGUAAAGCGCACGCAGGCGGUCGUGUAAGUUUGGGGUUACAGCUCCCGGCUCAACUGGGAGAGCGCCUUGAAGACUGCAGGACUUGAGAGCCAGAGAGGGACACAGAAUUCCGGGUGUAGUGGUGAAGUGCGUAGAUAUCCGGAGGAAUACCAAAGGCGAAGGCAGUGUCCUGGCUGGUAUCUGACGCUCAGGUGCGAAAGCUAGGGGAGCGAACGG
rnacentral:rRNA from 1 species